UUAUAAAAAGUAAUCCUACCCCCGCAACAACUAACAGGGUCGUUGUUUUUUUUCGGUGGAGGCGUAUAGAGGGGAGAGAAGGUGUAAUCCAGGAAGGCAGCAAUAGCGCACAAUUACCCCACUCCCGGUCUCGGGGAGGUUAGUGACGAAAAGAUAACGAUACGGGGACUCAUCCGAGGGCCCCGUAAUCGGGAAUGACUACACUUUAAAUCCUUUAAGGAGUAUCAAUUGGAGGGCAAGUCUGGUGCCAGCAGCCGCGGUAAUUCCAGCUCCAAUAGCGUAUAUUAAAGUUGUUGCGGUUAAAAAGCUCGUAGUUGGAUCUGUGUCCCGCACCGUCGGUUCACCGCCCGACGGUGUCAAACUGACGCGAUGCGGGACGUCCUGCCGGUGGCGUGCAGCUGCGCGGUCUUUCGGGGCAGCGUGGGCGGCGCCGAUUCAAUCCCGUCGCGGUGCUCUUCAUUGAGUGUCGAGGUGGGCCGGCACGUUUACUUUGAACAAAUUAGAGUGCUUCAAGCAGGCUGGAUAUUGCCUGAAUGCUAGUGCAUGGAAUAAUGGAAUAGGACCUCGGUUCUAUUUUGUUGGUUUUCGGAACCAGAGGUAAUGAUUAAUGGAGACAGGCGGGGGCAUUCGUAUUGCGACGUUAGAGGUGAAAUUCUUGGAUCGUCGCAAGACGGACCGAAGCGAAAGCAUUUGCCAAGGAUGUUCUCGUUGAUCAAGAACGAAAGUUAGAGGUUCGAAGGCGAUCAGAUACCGCCCUAGUUCUAACCGUAAACGAUGCCAGCUAGCGAUCUGCCAAAGUUCCUUUGAUGACUUGGCAGGCAGCUUCCGGGAAACCAAAGCUUUUGGGUUCCGGGGGAAGUAUGGUUGCAAAGCUGAAACUUAAAGGAAUUGACGGAAGGGCACCACCAGGAGUGGAGCCUGCGGCUUAAUUUGACUCAACACGGGAAACCUCACCAGGCCCGGACACUGGAAAGGAUUGACAGGAUUGAGAAGCUUCUUUCUUGAUUCAACUGGGUGGUGGUGCAAGGCCGUUCUUGAUGCUAUUAACCCUUUGUCUGGUUCAUAAAGAGACACAAGAAAAGGGGGGGGGGGGGGUGGA
rnacentral:rRNA from 1 species